CCUACGGGAGGCAGCAGUGAGGAAUAUUGGUCAAUGGGCGCGAGCCUGAACCAGCCAAGUAGCGUGAAGGAUAGCUGCCCUACGGGGUGUAAACUUCUUUUAUAAAGGAGUAAAGUGAGGCACGUGUGACUUUUUGUAUGGACUUUAUGAAGAAGGAUCGGCUAACUCCGUGCCAGCAGCCGCGGUAAUACGGAGGAUCCGAGCGUUAGCCGGAUUUAUUGGGUUUAAAGGGAGCGUAGAUGGGUUGUUAAGUCAGUUGUGAAAGUUUGCGGCUCAACCGUAAAAUUGCACUUGAUACUGGCAGCCUUGAGUACAGUUGAGGUAGGCGGAAUGCGUGGUGUAGCGGUGAAAUGCUUAGAUAUCACGAAGAACUCCGAUUGCGAAGGCAGCCUACUAAACUGCCACUGACAUUGAUGCUCGAAAGUGUGGGUAUCAAACAGGAUUAGAUACCCGUGUAGUC
rnacentral:rRNA from 1 species